rnacentral:misc_RNA from 1 species
GAUGAAGAACGCAGUGAAAUGCGAUAAGUAAUGUGAAUUGCAGAAUUCAGUGAAUCAUCGAAUCUUUGAACGCACAUUGCGCCCGCCAGUAUUCUGGCGGGCAUGCCUGUUCGAGCGUCAUUACAACCCUCAGGCCCCCGGGCCUGGCGUUGGGGAUCGGCGGAAGCCCCCUGUGGGCACACGCCGUCCCUCAAAUACAGUGGCGGUCCCGCCGCAGCUUCCAUUGCGUAGUAGCUAACACCUCGCAACUGGAGAGCGGCGCGGCCAUGCCGUAAAACACCCAACUUCUGAAUGUUGACCUCGAAUCAGGUAGGAAUACCCGCUGAACUUAAGCAUAUCAAUAAGCGGAGGA